GAUGAACGCUGGCGGCGUGCCUAAUACAUGCAAGUCGAGCGAACAGAUGAGGAGCUUGCUCCUCUGACGUUAGCGGCGGACGGGUGAGUAACACGUGGAUAACCUACCUAUAAGACUGGGAUAACUUCGGGAAACCGGAGCUAAUACCGGAUAAUAUAUUGAACCGCAUGGUUCAAUAGUGAAAGACGGUUUUGCUGUCACUUAUAGAUGGAUCCGCGCCGCAUUAGCUAGUUGGUAAGGUAACGGCUUACCAAGGCGACGAUGCGUAGCCGACCUGAGAGGGUGAUCGGCCACACUGGAACUGAGACACGGUCCAGACUCCUACGGGAGGCAGCAGUAGGGAAUCUUCCGCAAUGGGCGAAAGCCUGACGGAGCAACGCCGCGUGAGUGAUGAAGGCCUUCGGAUCGUAAAACUCUGUUAUUAGGGAAGAACAAAUGUGUAAGUAACUAUGCACGUCUUGACGGUACCUAAUCAGAAAGCCACGGCUAACUACGUG
rnacentral:rRNA from 1 species